GAUUUCUGCCCAGUGCUCUGAAUGUCAAAGUGAAGAAAUUCAAAGAAGCCUGGGUAAACAGCGGAAGUCACUGUGACUCAGCCAAAUACCUCGUCAUCUCGUUAGUGAUACACGCGAAUGGAC
rnacentral:ncRNA from 1 species